ACAGUAUUAGCACCUCGAUCGAUCCUGUCAUCUGGUGGGUGCGCCGUCUGCGUUCCCAGUGGAUGGCUGAAGCUUGGUGACGUCCCUUCACGCCGGCUCAGAUUGGAAAAGAAGAGUCGGGGACUCGGGGCUGCCCUAUCUGCAAGCGCGACGCACCAACCUACAGAUCCGUUCCAACCUAUACAUGUAGGUGUGCCAGCUGCAUCCUGUGCCUCCUGCCCUAGAUGCACGUAAAGGAAAAAGGCAAACUGCAGCAUAUUUUCCGCAAGCUUUUGCAACUGUUGUCGCUCCGAAUGAGGACAGUGUGUGUACGCGGGCAUCUUCUCCGCAACAUCCAAAUGCAUGCUCGUGAGGAGCCUGAAGGAAAUCAUAAUUUUAUUGGAAAAAAAUUACGGGCACUACGAAAGAUGCUGACAAACUAUUGAAGAUGAAGAUGGCGUUUUGGGUUGCCUCGCUUUCAGAUAGUGAUGAUGCUUCUGGAUCGGAACUUGGGGACGAUAGCGCCACCAGGAACCUCACACUUUCACAUCAGAGAAUUUAGUUCAUCGCCUACAUGAAUGCCGAUGGCAAAAGCAAGGACAAUUUUGACGUUGUCGCGUCCUCCCUCACACAUGUACUACUCAGGCACUGCACCCCUCAAGAAGAUCGACCAGGCAAAAGGAUCCAACAAAAUCAUCGUAGAACGCCAUUCUUUGGAAGUACACCUGGACUGAAGUACGAAGUGUGUGCAAGUGAGGGCCACCAAUGAGGAAACCAAUGAACCUUCGAAGUGAUCCUCUCAUAGCUAUGGAGAAGUUAAGGGUGUGUC